UACAGAGGGGGCAAGCGUUAUUCGGAAUUAUUGGGCGUAAAGGGCGCGUAGGCGGCUUUGCAAGUGGCGGGUGAAAUCCCUCGGCUUAACCGAGGAACUGCCUGUCAAACUGCAUGGCUUGAGACCAGGAGAGGUGAGUGGAAUUCCCAGUGUAGCGGUGAAAUGCGUAGAUAUCUGGAGGAACACCGGUGGCGAAGGCGGCGUUCUGGACUGCAUCUGACACUGAAAGACGAAAGCCAGGGGAGCAAACAGG
rnacentral:rRNA from 1 species